CCUACGGGGGGCUGCAGUGGGGAAUAUUGGACAAUGGGGGCAACCCUGAUCCAGCCAUGCCGCGUGUGUGAAGAAGGCCCUCGGGUUGUAAAGCACUUUCAGUGAGGAAGAACGCCUGGUGGUUAAUACCCAUCAGGAAAGACAUCACUCACAGAAGAAGCACCGGCUAACUCCGUGCCAGCAGCCGCGGUAAUACGGAGGGUGCGAGCGUUAAUCGGAAUUACUGGGCGUAAAGCGCGCGAGGUGGCUUGAUAAGCCGGUUGUGAAAGCCCCGGGCUCAACCUGGGAACGGCAUCCGGAACUGUCAAGCUAGAGUGCAGGAGAGGAAGGUAGAAUUCCCGGUGUAGCGGGGAAAGGCGUAGAGAUCGGGAGGAAUACCAGUGGCGAAGGCGGCCUUCUGGACUGACACUGACACUGAGGUGCGAAAGCGUGGGUAGCCAACAGGAUUAGAUACCCUGGUAGUC
rnacentral:rRNA from 1 species